ACAAACGACUCUCGGCAACGGAUAUCUCGGCUCACGCAUCGAUGAAGAACGUAGCAAAAUGCGAUACUUGGUGUGAAUUGCAGAAUCCCGUGAACCAUCGAGUUUUUGAACGCAAGUUGCGCCCGAAGCCAUCCGGCUGAGGGCACGUCUGCCUGGGCGUCACG
rnacentral:rRNA from 4 species